rnacentral:rRNA from 1 species
CUCCGGUUGAUCCUGCCGGACCCGACUGCUAUCAGAGUGGGACUAAGCCAUGCGAGUCAACGCAGCAAUGCGUGGCAUACGGCUCAGUAACACGUAGUCAACAUGCCCAGGGGACGUGGAUAACCUCGGGAAACUGAGGAUAAACCGCGAUAGGCCAAGAUUUCUGGAAUGGAUAAUGGCUGAAAUCUAUAUGGCCCCUGGAUUGGACUGCGGCCGAUCAGGCUGUUGGUGAGGUAAUGGCCCACCAAACCUGUAACCGGUACGGGCUCUGAGAGGAGGAGCCCGGAGAUGGGCACUGAGACAAGGGCCCAGGCCCUAUGGGGCGCAGCAGGCGCGAAACCUCUGCAAUAGGCGAAAGCUUGACAGGGUUACUCUGAGUGAUGUCCGUUAAGGAGAUCUUUUGGCACCUCUAAAAAUGGUGCAGAAUAAGGGGUGGGCAAGUCUGGUGUCAGCCGCCGCGGUAAUACCAGCACCCCGAGUGGUCGGGACGAUUAUUGGGCCUAAAGCAUCCGUAGCCGGUUCUGCAAGUCUUCCGUUAAAUCCAGCCGCUCAACGGAUGGGCCGCGGAGGAUACUACAGGACUAGGAGGCGGGAGAGGCAAGCGGUACUCAGUGGGUAGGGGUAAAAUCCUUUGAUCCAUUGAAGACUACCAGUGGCGAAGGCGGCUUGCCAGAACGCGCUCGACGGUGAGGGAUGAAAGCUGGGGGAGCAAACCGGAUUAGAUACCCGGGUAGUCCCAGCUGUAAACGAUGCAGACUCGGUGAUGGGCUAGCCUUGUGCCAGCCCAGUGCCGCAGGGAAGCCGUUAAGUCUGCCGCCUGGGGAGUACGGUCGCAAGACUGAAACUUAAAGGAAUUGGCGGGGGAGCA